rnacentral:tRNA from 1 species
GCCAAGGUGGCAGAGUGGUAAUGCAGCGGCCUGCAGAGCCGCCAUUCCCCGGUUCAAAUCCGGGCCUUGGCU